GGUGCACCCCGGCCGAGAACUGAAGUGAGGGGCCGUGAACGCAGCCGUGAGGGCCUCCGGCCCCCACCCCGCACCCUCUCCAGGGUCUGUGAAGCUGGGGCUUUCCAGGCACUCAAAUCGCGCCCCGAUCCGGGAGGCCAGGAGGAAGCUCUGGGGCCCGCAGGGCGGGGUGAAUUCCCCAGUUCCCUCUCUGCUGGGCCCUCCUGGCCUUUGUCUGCAGGGGCAGCUGCAGGGGCGGCACCAGCCGGGCUCCCUGGGGAGGCAUGGGGGUGAACUGGGGCUCUGCUGUGCCGGCCCCUCUUCACCAGUCGCAUUAGGGGGACUCGGUGGACGCAGGCAGCUGGUCUCCACCUCGGGGGUGGCUAGGUCCAGCCCACCACCCUUCACACAUCAGGAGGCCCAAGGUCAAGAGGGCUGCCUGUGUCCAGCACAGAGGACAGAGCCUUGGCCUUGCACCUUAGCCCUGGCCCAAGACCCAAUGUACCCAGGCCAAUGUAGAGUCUCCCCUCUGCUCCCCCCCAGUGGACGGUACUGCCCAGGAGGACCACAGUCAUGACCUGGACAGGCCCCUCGGUCCUCCUGACUGUCCUGCUGCAUGACUGGGCUUCUAGCCCCUUUUGGGGGGCGAUGCUCACAGGCUGGGCCAGAGUCCACAGUGGGCCCAUCCCACGGCCCUCCGGGGCUCUGCCUGAGCUCUGGGGACAGCCAGGGAGAUGGGGGGUUUGGGCAGAGGGGGGCCAGCUGCUCUGGCAGGUGUGGAGAUGGGACCUGGCGCUACGCCUGUCCUGUCCCCCGCAACGGCGCUGUACCACAAGGCAGGUCAAGGCCCCUCUCGUGAAGACCUGUGCUGCCCAGCAGGCGGUCUCCUGGCCCACCCAUCUGAGGGUGGCCCUGAUGCCAAGCCCAGGUUGGCUCGCCUGACACCUCCUGACAGUGGCCUGUGCACACACGGCCCCAACUAG
rnacentral:lncRNA from 1 species